ensembl:lncRNA
GUUAACCAUCGGAGGGCAGCACUGCAGCCCCGAUCGGCGUGGACCGGGGGACUGGGAGUGACCUCCGGUCCGCCGGCCCGUCGCGGGUCCCCUUGAAGGGCCCCUACUGCAGGCCGGGUAGCCUGGUUCACUGUGUCCUUAGACAACCUGUGUGCUGCUGCACACAGCACAGGAAAGGGGCCCCAGAAUGGGUAGCAGGCCAGUGUCUGUAGCUCUCACUUCUCGCAGCAGAGAAACUCACAGCAGCACAAUAGAGAAAUCCCCACAGGGCCUUUUUAGCUCUUUUAAAGACAUUUGUUCACCACGACGGUCGCCGUUACGAUGUCUUCGACGGCCACGUCGAUGGCAGUAUCUGUAAACCCUCGCUUGGCCCCCAAGCACCGCAUUCCAUUAAAAUGCAUGAUGUGCUCUGGGGGAGCAGUCAACAUGUUAAUUCUCAUAAGGUUUCCAUUAUCUGCGAUGCGUUGAUGUGUGGAAAGGCCAAAGCUUCAUAUUUUGUGAUUUACAAAGACUUUGAAAGGCAUUAGACAUUUUAUUGUGUUCCACCGAAUCCACAAGGAUUUUGUUUUUCACGGUGCAAGUGGAUUGUCAGGUUGGCAGACCAAACGGGCGAAGUUGCAAACUGCAGUUCUGUCAGUUGAAGGCAGUCCAGCAAGCGAAGAAGAGAGCAUAGGUUAAACAAUCCAGGAACGUCAUCAUGACCUUAUCAUGGUAUUAUCAUGCAGAACACUAAGCAGGACAUUUAGGCAGGUGCCAGUCUGGGAUCCCUAACAAUUGAAUCAUUGGGAUGGUAUUUUUAAGUUUAAAAGGGUAGUGAUUCCUUUAUGAUUUAAUUGCAAUUUAAAAUAAGAGGGAAAAAAAAGCCAUGGUUUGGAAAGAUGCUGAAGAAAGUUCAUGUACAUUUUGGAAAGACAUGCAAUUUGUAAAAGAAAAAAUAAUAACCUGAUGUUUUUGUUAAAAUUAAAAUACUGUGUAUGUUAAGGUAUCUUUGUGCUACACUCGAAGAAUUUGAAUAAGUGUUAAAAUAAUCACAAAUCAAUAUACGUGCGUGUGUGUGCGUGUGUGCGUGUGUGCGUGUGUGCGUGUGUGUGUGUGUGUGUGUGUGUGUGUGUGUGUGUGUGUGUGUGUGUCCGGGGAUAGUGCAACAUCGAGGGGCGUAAAAAAAGGAAAUGAUUGAAGAGAACAUGAUCGUUAUUCUUUUUUUAUUAAUAAUAAUAGCUGAUUCAUGGCUCAGGUCCACAGAUCUCUCAUUCUUUCUAAUAAAAGAAAAUAAAUACCUCUGGCAUACUUUUUAAAGCUAAGACUGAGGGGAGUGUGGCUUACACUCGGAUUCCCUGGAUUCGUGGUGUUCAUCGAGGAGAGGUAACAAUGUGUUCCAGGAAUCCACAAGUGCUCUGUUAUUAAGCCGUGGCCCGAUGCUGCACUUUGAAUAGUGCCAACGCUGCUCCAUGUGCGAGUGCUCUGGCCUGCUUCUCGUGACACCCUGCCAAAUGUGAACCAAAGCGGAGAGAAAGAAGUGACAUUUCCAUCGGAGGACAGGACGCAGAGAGCAGCGCGGAGGAGCUAUCGUACGGGGCCGCGGAGGAGACGGAGCCUCUGUCAGCCAAGGAGCACGUGGCUGUAAGACGCUUCUAACUUCAAUUGUGUUCAAUACGUCGGUGGUCCAAGAGGGUCACGGUCCCUGACCUGUGGUUCAGUACAGAGAAACGAUUGUGCUUUCUAAGCGAGAGCAAAGGUCAGAGCAGUUGCGGAUAGAGUAGUACUAUAUUUUUGACUCGACCAAGUUAAAAAGUGUUCAUAUGAAUCGGUUUGUCAAGUAGGUCGAGUGCGUUGUAGUUUGUGUUUUGGAGUUCUUAAGAGAGGCUACGGUGUUGGAACGGGCUGGCUGACCCCCCCUCCAGACUUGUUGUUGUGCUGCACUAAGCAGCUUAUUCUGACCAUCUUUAACUCCAUACUUGACCAUUUCGAAGCAGACACGUAAAUUGAACCCUGCCUAAUCCUAUACGGAAAAUGAACUAUUUAUAACCCCAUACCUAAAACAAACAGGCAUUUCUAAACGUUUGCUCUGGCUCCAGCGUACGGUUGCGCUCCAGCGGGCCCCAUCAGGUCACCUCAGCGAGGGUCCUGUCUCCAUGACCUCAUCACCAGCACCUCCGCCAAAUCUUGCAUUCUUUUUUUUCUUUCUUCAGAAAACCGCUUCGCUGAAGCAGUCCCUGAUGCCAGAAAUGUUGUUUUGGCAGAAGCCCCUCCAUACUGUAACUCCAUUGUGACCCUAAUUGCUCUAUGUGUCGGCCAUUUAGAUCCGGCAGCCUGUGGUGCUCACGCCCGACCGAGCGUGUAGAUAGAGCUGAUGUAUAAACAAUGUUUCAAGGCGAUGAGCGGCGUCUCGGCUCGGAUUGUUUGGUGUAAUAUGAUUGGCUAAUGGGCCUCAUAGACGAAUAGCAAUCCACAAAGGAAUAAAAUUACAUUAUCGUGUGGUUUAAUUCUCCCCCCCCCCCCCCCCAAAAAACAAAUUUUGAAUUCCACUUUCAAGCUCCAAAGAUGUAUUUGGCUUCUGGCUUCGCCUCGUUUUAUGGAAGAGUAAUUCUUAGAAAUAAGUAUUACAUUGUGAAUAUAUUGAUAUGUGAUUAAUAUUAUUAUUAUUUUAUUUGCGCUACUAGGGACUUCUUCCAAAAAAAUUAUAAUGUUCGUUUUUCCCCCAAUCUGUUUGUAUUAGAAUUGUAUUUAUAGCGAUAUUAGUUAUGGCGUGCCUACCAUCAGAAUAUACACAUAUAUUUAAUGGAAUCAUUAACAGGAACACAUUUCUUUUUCAAUAUAAUGGGAGACCGAUUAGGCUUCCUUAAAAAUAUUUUCAAGACCUUUUUAAGACCUGUCUCUAUCUGCUGACUUUGGCUACAGGACAGAGUAAACUACUGUUACUCUGUUGAAUGCAAUCACUGACGAAUGCCCAGCAACAAUUCAAUUAUUGCUCAAUUGUUGCAUAUUUUUUUGCAACACGGAGGACAAAGCCCUUCACAAACAGAGCCCGAUACAACAGUGUUUUUUGUGCGGGUGUGUUCUUAUUUUACUCGUGUGUAUUCAUCAGAAUGCUGCGUUUGAGCAGCGAGGCGCUGGCUGAAGCAUCUCUACGCUCUCCAACAUGUGUUCUGAAAUCGCUGCAGACGGACACAUAUAUUCACGGGCGCUGGGUGUACGUUUGAGUCGGUGGGUGGUUGGAGGGUGGGUGCGGACUGCGCAGGGCUGGGGGGGGAGUGGGAGGUGGGGGUGGGGUGUGUGGGGGUGGUUGAUGCGGCGCCAGGCCAGAAUCAAUUGGUGGUGUAAUGAGAUGGCCCUGCGCCAGGUAACCAUGGUGCUUCUUGUCUAGCGGUGCAGAGUUCAAAAUUAAACUGAAUGAAUGACGGGGAGGGAGGCGGGGGGGAGGAGGGGGAGGAGAGAGGGCGAGGGCGGAGGGAGGGAGGAGGGAGGAGGGAAAUGUGGUGAGAGGAGGCUGGCGGAGGAGCCACUGGGCGUUUUCUAAAGGCGUGCUAAAAACCCACUGGAGGCUUUUCUUCCGGAGAGAGCGGAUGAAAAGGUGCUAAAGCCCCGGUUCCCUUCAGCGAUUGUCUGGAGAACUUAUGACAGGUCGGAGUAAACGUAGGUGCCGGUUCUGGUGCAGUGAUCUACAAAGAGCGGUGCCCCGCACGCAGGCCGCACCCUCCCCUCCUGGCCCUCCCCCCCGCCUCACUAGGCCCACCCCC